rnacentral:misc_RNA from 1 species
GGCGAGUGCAUGUAUUAUGCCCUUGUGUAGCUACUAAAUGGCUUCCUGGGCAAUCUCAUUUCACCAUGAAUAUUAUCCAUUUUAUUUUUCUUUUCUUUUUUGCUGUCAUAUAAUAAUAGUUGUGGGACGUUGGUUCCAGCUGUUCAGUUCUCAUUUUCCUACAUGUUAAUACUGGAGGUCAUACUCGGACUGGUGUAUACAUGGUCUAGGAAGUGAUCAGCAGUGUUGACUGCUUACUCUAAUCUUGUCUCUGAAUUUAGCCCUCCUGU